UGUGACGUUACCAAACUGUUGCCUCGGCGGGGUCACGCCCCGGGUGCGUCGCAGCCCCGGAACCAGGCGCCCGCCGGAGGAACCAACCAAACUCUUUCUGUAGUCCCCUCGCGGACGUAUUUCUUACAGCUCUGAGCAAAAAUUCAAAAUGAAUCAAAACUUUCAACAACGGAUCUCUUGGUUCUGGCAUCGAUGAAGAACGCAGCGAAAUGCGAUAAGUAAUGUGAAUUGCAGAAUUCAGUGAAUCAUCGAAUCUUUGAACGCACAUUGCGCCCGCCAGUAUUCUGGCGGGCAUGCCUGUCCGAGCGUCAUUUCAACCCUCGAACCCCUCCGGGGGAUCGGCGUUGGGGAUCGGGACCCCUCACACGGGUGCCGGCCCCGAAAUACAGUGGCGGUCUCGCCGCAGCCUCUCCUGCGCAGUAGUUUGCACAACUCGCACCGGGAGCGCGGCGCGUCCACGUCCGUAAAACACCCAACUUUCUGAAAUGUUGACCUCGGAUCAGGUAGGAAUACCCGCUGAACUUAAGCAUAUCAAA
rnacentral:rRNA from 1 species